rnacentral:misc_RNA from 1 species
UGGCUCUCGCAUCGAUGAAGAACGCAGCGAAAUGCGAUAAGUAAUGUGAAUUGCAGAAUUCAGUGAAUCAUCGAAUCUUUGAACGCACCUUGCGCUCCUUGGUAUUCCGAGGAGCAUGCCUGUUUGAGUGUCAUUAAAUUCUCAACCUCUCUAGUUUUAUUGACUAGUAGAUGGCUUGGAUUUGGGAGUAAAUUUUGCAGGCUUUCACAAGUCAGCUCUCCUUAAAUGUAUUAGCCGGUGUCUUCUAACCGUCUAUUGAUGUGAUAAUUAUCUACGUCGUGGACUAUUAGAAUUUUGCGCUGCUUAUAAUCGUCCGUAUGGACAAUUUUAUGACAUUUUGACCUCAAAUCAGGUAGGACUACCCGCUGA